GACAGAGGGUGCAAGCGUUGUUCGGAAUUACUGGGCGUAAAGCGCGUGUAGGCGGUUAUGCAAGUCGGGUGUGAAAGCCCGGAGCUCAACUCCGGAAGUGCAUUCGAUACUGCGUAGCUAGAGUACUGGAGAGGAUGGUGGAACUCUCGGUGUAGAGGUGAAAUUCGUAGAUAUCGAGAAGAACACCGGUGGCGAAGGCGGCCAUCUGGACAGAUACUGACGCUGAGACGCGAAAGCGUGGGGAGCAAACAGG
rnacentral:rRNA from 1 species